GGAAGACUUAAGAUGGCGGCGUUUGCACGGAGUGCAAUCACUGCGUCCUUACGGGGGUUGCAAGGCGUCCGAAGUAUGAGUCCACUAACAAAAGUCCAGAAACUCGCCAGUUAAUAGUAUUGUGUCUCUUCAAAAUAUCGGAGAAUAAUUUCUUUCUCGCUGAUCGCCUAACUUCUACUGACGAAGCUUGGAAGUUGCAGAAGAAAUACAAAAAAAAUUCUAAAACUUGUAUGGAACUACAAAAGACAUUAAAUAAUCAAAGUAAUCUUGAGCAACAAGGACACAGCUGGAGGCAUCACUCUACCUGAUUUUGUAAUCCAUUAUCAAAAAACUGUGGUACCAGCAUAAAAACAGAUUCACUGACCAGUGGAACAGGAAAGCCCAGACAUAACUCAUACAUUUCCAUCCAAUUGAUUUUUGACAAAAGUGGCACACAGAAUGGGGAGAGGACAAAUAAAUAAAUAAAUUGUUUUGAGAUAUCUGUAUAUCUAUAUGUGAAAUUGAACCAUUUUCUCAUAGCAUAUAGAAAAAUCAACUCAAAAUGGAUUAAAGCCUGAAAUGUUGCCUUUGAAACUGUAAAACUACUAGUAGAAAAUAUAGGGGAAAAGCUCUAUGAUGUUGUUCUGGGCAAUGAUUUCUUGGAUACAUCCUUAAAAGCAUGGGCAGCAAAAACAGCCAGACAACUAUCAGGGAACCUGCCCAGAUAGUCACAUAGGUUCUUUUCUAUUUUCCCUAAGCAUUGGCCGGGUUGAGAAAUAAAGGGACAGAGUACAAAAGAGAGAAAUUUUAAAGCUGGGCAUCCUGGGGAGACAUCACAUGUCGGUAGGUUCCGUGAUGCCCCCUGAGCCGUAAAACCAGUAAGUUUUUAUUAGGGAUUUUCAAAGGGGAGGGAGUAUACGAAUAGGAGGUGGGUCACAGAGAUCACGUGCUUCACAAGGUAAUAGAAUAUCACAAGGCAAAUGGAGGCAGGGCGAGAUCACAGGACCACAGGACUGGGUUGAAAUUAAAAUUGCUAAUGAAGUUUCGGGCACCAUCGUCAUUGAUAACAUCUUAUCAGGAGACAGGGUUUGAGAGCAACCUGUCUGACCAAAAUUUAUUAGGUGGGAAUUUCCUCGUCCUAAUAAGCCUGGGAGCGCUAUGGGAGACUGGGGCUUAUUUCAUCCCUACAGUCUCGACCAUAGAAGACAGCUACACCCAAGGGGGCCAUUUUAGAGGCCCACCCUCAGGGGCACAUUCUCUUUCUCAGGGAUGUUCCUUGCUGAGAAAAAGAAUUCGGCGAUAUUUCUCCCAUUUGCUUUUGAAAGAAGAGAAAUAUGGCUCUGUUCCGCCUGGCUCACCGGCGGUCAGAGUUUAAGGUUAUCUCUCUUAUUCCCUGAACAUUGCUGUUAUCCUGUUCUUUUUUCAAGGUGCCUAGAUUUCAUAUUGUUUAAACACACAUGCUCUACAAUUUCUGCACUUAACACAAUUAUCACAGGGUCCUGAGGCGACAUACGUCCUCCUCGGCUUACGAGAUGACAGGAUUAAGAGAUUAAAACAGGCAUAGGAAAUCACAAGGGUAUUGAUUGGGGAAGUGAUAAGUGUCCAUGAAAUCUUCACAAUUUAUGUUUAGAGAUUGCAGUAAAGACAGGCAUAAGAAAUUAUAAAAGUAUUAAUUUGGGGAACUAAUAAAUGUCCAUGAAAUCUUCACGAUCCACGUUCUUCCGCCAUGGCUUCAGCCAGUCCCUCCGUUUGGGGUCCCUGACUUCCCGCAACAGACAACUUGAGUUGCAUCAAACUAAAAAGCAUCUGCACUGCAAAGGGUACAGUUAACAGAAUGAAGACACGGGUUUUGAGAAACCAUUUUCAAAUCAUAUAUCUGAUAAGGGGCUAAUAUCCAAAAUGUAUUAAGAAACCCAAGCCCAAUAGCAAGAAAACAACUGUCUUUAAAAGGGGGAAAAGGACCUCAACUUAAAUUUUUCAGAGGAAGACAUGAGUGGCCAAUUGAUUGAUACAUGAAAAAAAUGCUCAACAUCUCUAAUCAUUAGUGAGUUGCAAAUCAAAACUGCAAGAUAUUACCUUACACCUUUUAGAAUGGCUAUUAUUAAAAGGAUGAAAGACAGGUGCUGGCAAGGAUGUGGAUAAAAGGAAGUCCCAACAUUCUGUUAGUGGGAAUAUAAAUUAGUAUAGCCAAUUUAGGAAACUAUAUGGUGGUUCCUUAAGAAACUAAAAGUACAAUUACUAUAUGAUCUAGCAAUCUCUACUUAGGUAUAUAUCCAAAGGAAUUGAAGCAGUAUGUUGAGAUCUUGCACUCCCUUAUUUUGAAAUUAUUUACAAAGCUAAUAAAUGGAAAAGACUUAAGUUUUCAUAACAGAUGAAUGGACAUAGAAGAUGUGUUGUAUAUACAUAUUGGAAUAUUUUUUAUCCUUGGAAAAGAAGGAAAAUUGUCAUUUGUGACAACAUGGAUGAAUCUGUAGUAUACUAUGCUAAGUGUUGUAAGACAGGCACAGAGAGGCAAAUACUACAUUAUAUUUGUAUGUGGAAUCUAAGAAAGGCUAACUCAUACAAGUAGAAAGUUGGAUGUUAUGGUUUCCAGGAUGUGGGUGUUGGAGAGAUGGGCAAAGGCAAGACGUUGGUCAAAGAGUACCAAUUUUCUGUUAGGAGGAAUAAGUUUUAGACAUAUUUCACAGCAUGGUGACCAUUGUCACUGACUGUAUAUUUUAAAAUUGUUAUAAGUAGAUAUUAAAGUUGUCACAACAAAAGUAGGUGAAGUUAUGGAUAUGUUAAUGUGCUUGAUUUAGUUAUUACACUAUGUAUACAUACAAAAACAUCAGAUAGUUCCCUGGAAUUAUAUACAAUUAUUACUUGUCAAUUAUAAAAAAAAGCCCUACUGCAACCACUAAAAAGGAUUUUCAUAUAAUAGAGGGAAAAAUCGUUAAAGAUAAUAAUACAUUAUUUUAGAAAAUAUUAACUUAUAAAAAGUAGUAUAGGAGGGAUUCUGUAAAAGAAGAUAGACAUAGAAUUUUAAAAUGUAUAAUGGAAAAUUUAAAUCCAGCUGUACUGAUGGAUCAAGCAAUCCAAACCAGUCUGAUUGACCAAGUGGAUAUUUAAAAAACAAUCAAACUAUAAGGUGUCUGUUGUAGGCAGUUUAUAAAAUACAAAAGUGUUGAAAGAAAUAGGAUGGAAAUAGAAAUAUCCAAGUAGCAACCACAAAAAAACUGGAAUGUCUGCACUAACAUCAUACAAAACAAACCAAAUGAAGGUUAAAAAUAUUGAAAUUAUACAAAAUAUGUUCUAUGACUAAAAUUUAAUGAAAUUAGAAAUAACACAGAGAUAGGAACUAUACAUAUUUGUGCAAAUUUAAAAAGUUAUGCUGAGUGUGGUGGCUCACACCUGUAAUCCCAGCACUUUGGGAGGCCGGGGAGGGUGGAUCACUUGAAGUCAGGAGUUGGAGACCAGCCUGGCCAACAUGGUGAAACCCUGUCUC
ensembl:lncRNA JPX JPX transcript, XIST activator